UUUUAGAGGAGGGCUUCUUUCUUGAGACAGCAUUUUCCUGGCUGCCUGAGUGGCCUGGACACAUAGCUCUGGGUCCGAGGAGUCACACCAUUGAUUAUUUCAUGCAGGGGGAAGCUGACCAAUUUGGUGAGCUUUCCUGAAACUGAGUCAGUAAAAUGCAACAGAUAUAGACAUAGAGAAUAAUUGUAUUAAUUCAAGGAUGAUGCAUAUGGAUAUCAGGUCAUGAGAUUUGAAGUAUUUAACCUUGGGAAGAAAGGAUGUGAAGAUUAUGAGAGCUCCAAUUGGGAGAGUGUUCAAGCGCGAGGGGGAAGAUUUCCAGCAGGGCAGCCGCAUACGGAAGAUUGGGCAGAGUCCUCGCAGAUGGCGGUGUCAGAGCAGGGGAGCCUGAAGA
rnacentral:lncRNA from 1 species